rnacentral:rRNA from 1 species
UACGUAGGGGGCAAGCGUUGUCCGGAAUCAUUGGGCGUAAAGCGCGCGUAGGCGGCCCGGUAAGUCCGCUGUAAAAGUCCAGGGCUCAACCCUGGAAAGCCGGUGGAUACUGUCGGGCUAGAGUCCGGAAGAGGCGAGUGGAAUUCCUGGUGUAGCGGUGGAAUGCGUAGAUAUCAGGAGGAACACCGAUGGCGAAGGCAGCUCGCUGGGACGGUACUGACGCUGAGGCGCGAAAGCUAGGGGAGCAAACAGG